rnacentral:lncRNA from 1 species
AUAUACUGAUGCGGGGCGCCCUCUGCGUAUCUUGGGUCAAAGAGGAGUGACUCCUCGGCCUUCCCCUUGAUGCAUAAAUCUGGAGGACAUCCACCCUGUUGUCUUCCACGAAUCGACGCGGAGCUUUGAGAGUCUCCUGGAUCACUGUCCUCUGUCUACCCCCCUUGCCUGAGCUGGCCAGCUUUGCGAGCAGGUCAGCUCUGGCAUUCUGCUCCCUCGGGACGUGUAUCAACUCAAGAGCGUUGAACGCCCCUCUCAACAACUGGACGUAUUUUAGAUACGCCGCCA